GUGCUCUCGGUGGCGUCUCUGCUAUAUGGGACUGAAAACUGGAUGCAAAUGGGUAUACAGGUCCUUGUAUCUGAUCCACGGGAACUGCAGAAGAUAUGUAGGAGGUUGUUCAUUUUCUCGAUAUUAUACUGAUUUUUUUGUGAUCUCCCAAAGGAAUUUGCAAUGCGUGUGCUCUAUUGUCAUGCUCGAAUCUGAAUAACAAAGGAGCGAAUUGAGAAAGUUCUCAAGGCCGGUGCUAAUGUUGUAUUUACCACUGGGGCGUAGCCAGCACCUCCAGAUGCUUAGUCACUAAAAGACGAGGAAAUGGAUCCUCGAUGUUUUUGCGAAGCAGAUUUUGUCAGCUGUGGCAUGUUCACCAGCUGCGGCAUUAAUAAGUCCUACAACAUUUGGCUAGGUGAUGGAGAAUCACUGCUGAAGGUGAUAUUGCAUGCUGAAGGUGAUAUUGCAGGCACCAUCAUGGCCACAUCGAAGGUCCUAAGCUCUAGAUACGCAAAAACAGCCCCAACCAGAGUUCAGGCCACCAAGGUUGUGCAGUAGCUGGCCCAUCUCGUGCAGCGAUCAUGUGUACACGGGGUCCUCGGUGGCGGUGGUAAUUCUCUCCCGCAUGGGGAUUCCAGUAACUAUUAGUUAUACAGGAAUAUGUACAUUUCCCACGUGUUUUCUAUUUGAGGAGAGGUGGUCACAUGAUUUAUGCUCAUACUAUUCUGCCAUAAAUCUUUUGUUUUUGUCCAUGUGCAAAGAAUAAGGAAAAGGAUCAAUGACAGUCUCUGCCUUUGUAGGAGCUGGUUACGCCCAAUACUAUUCUACCAUAAGUCCAGAUUUGUGCCGAUUUUGAUUCAACAAAGAUUACAUAUAUCCUUACCUGCACCCAUGUCUCCUCGUCCUCUCCUCUUCCAACCUCUCCUCGGGGGCGAUGAGAGGUCCUGGAGGUGGUGAUGCGGAAGAGCAUCGGAAUCUUGGAGGAGAUGCAGCCCAGGUGAAUGGUGUUGGUUGUCUGCUCCCAUUACGCCUCCCUUCCUCAACUACAGACAUGCUGGUAUUCCUCUCCUCUCUCCUGGUCCCUGCUUUGGCUUGUAUUUUUGCUAUGGAUAUUGUGGUGUAGCGAGAAUGGGAGGAGAGUGGGAUUGGAACGCUGACUUCAUCUACUUGGUAAGCAUUUGAUAUUUCUCUGGAUCAUUUUCUGUCCAUAUACAAAUAUAGAAAAUUUAUGUAUGCCUAUAUCCAACUAUUUAGUACUUAAGUUGGUGGUCCUCAAGAGGAUCUUAAAGAAAACUUGUUUGUGGAUUCCGAUACCAUGUUUUACUCGUUUUAAUCUUACCAUUUGAGGUGACGACGGCGGCUGCAUAGCGCGCACCGAGCGGUGGCGGUGGCUGGGAGUGUGCACCGAGAGUUGGUGGGUUGCUGGCCACGGCAGCAGCGGUGGCUGGGAGCGCGCCCCCGAGGAUAACAGACUGUUCCAUCUUUUGGUGCAAGCACUUCUAGGUACUCGUUUUGUAUCCUUGACAGAAAUUUCUUUCAGAUUUUGUAAAAUUGUUUUUAUUAUGUAUACCAAAUGCAUUUCUGUAGCUUCAGCAAAAUGAGUUAAUGUUCUAUAAAACCAAUGCAUCUCUUUAGCUACAGGAGACUAAUGAAUAACAAAAGAUUUUAUUAUCCUUGUUUCCUCAUGCAUUAUUUCACUAGAUUUUGUUAUUCUCAUUAGUUGCUCUGAUAGAUAAAAGUCCAGAAUAUGAACAACAAUUGAAAUGAUGGCAUAUUGGCAUAUGAAAAGGAAGCUGAAAACUAGAUUUAGAUGAUAUUUUGUCUUGUAUACACAAUUCAUGCUUGAUUGCUAAUUAUUUAUCUCCUUAUAGGGCGGUAAGAGUAGUAAACAAAUGAGUACAAUCAUACAAAUAAUGUCGUGUCCAUUUGUUUAUUGUUCUAGAUGAAAAAUAGGCUUCAUUUCAUAACACUGUAAUGUUGUUUACAUCUUGAAGCCAGAACCCAAUAGUUCCAGCAACCCUUGCCUUAUGGGAAAGGUCAUAUGUGUUGUCCCUUCUUACCCGAAUCUGAGAAAAUCGAGAAGGUCCAGGUGAUCUAUGAGGCUACGAGAGGUGUAUUGAAGAACAUUUUAUGGCACACCCUAUAUUAAAAGAGCGCAUUGAUUCAGAAUUCUGUUUCUUCAUAGUCAUUACGUGAGUUUAGUAUCAUAACUUAUC